CACAGCUGGAAGGAAACAUGCCAUUUGUCUGUCUUCCUAUUCACAAGCCUUCCAAAAUGACCCCCCUCCCAUUAUAAAAAUACCAUGUGUUUAAGGAAGGCACAGAAAAAUCUAACAUAUAAACAAUCUUAAUGACAAGAUAUGAAUAUAGAUAUUUAAGAUAUAGAUAAUUUCAAUAGUAAGUAAAAAAUAUGGAUUAAGUACAAAAUGCACAGAAAAGGGAACAUUCACCUAGAUGCCAUUAACCAGAAAUAGUAUUUUAUUAUGUUCCCUUCUCAUCUACUGUAUAUAAGUACAUAAUUCACAUACAUAUUUACAGGUGGGGAAAUAUUGUCUCCUAUAUUUCCCCAUCCAUUAUAAACUCCAUCAACAGCAUUUUUAGGGUGACACAAAAUGCCAUUAUUUCAUCCUGGGGUAGUUUAUUACCAUGUUCCCCAUUUCAUUUCUUACUAGUAUUUCUUUCCUGUACCUAACACUGUAGCCCAUGAACUUGCCUGUGAAAUGUGUCUACAUUGUGGGUUACUAAUAUAUCUCACAUGAUCUGUCGAUAGGAUGUUGAGGCCACCGUGUUAAUCUAAAGGGGCCAAGGCUGACCCUGUGGAUGCCAUUUAUUCUGUCCCCAAGGAACUUGGCACUUCUGGAAUUCCUUCUGCACCACAGUGACUCCAGGAAGCAAUAUGGAAAUCUGUUGGUUUCCCCUCGAUGAGCUUAGUCCUGUGAAACUUUUGCCUGCCAAUGUGUGGGACCAGCUAAGGCACAUGCUGGCUUGUGACUUUGCCCUGUGUCCCUGCUUCCCAAGCCACUUGGCCCUCACUUCUAUGACCCUCCCCCCAUUCCUCAGAGAUCUUAAGUCAAGGUCAUGAAGCCUAUGCUUUGAAAACAUCAUCUCAACAGUGCUGGCCGUGCGCUGUUCGUCUGAGGAGCGGUGCUCAAUUUAGCCCGAGUCUUUCUUUGCCGAGGACCCAACCCAUUCUGGUGCUUUCUGCCUCCGCCCCACGCUAUUGGCUCUGUGCUUUCUGUCUGGAUGGCCCACCUGUCCUCCCCUCCCUGCCCACUUACCUUGCCUACUGCUGUGGGUUUUCAUGCCCCUGUGCCACUUGCCCACGCCCACAGCUCACCUGCAGCCUGGCUCUGCAUGUGUCUGGCCUGUCCCAGCUGAGCUCCCAGAAUUGCAGAGACGGCAGGUUGCUGCCAGAGACCCAAGGCCUGGUCUCUGAACACCCCGGGCCUGAGCCCUAGAGGAGGAACUACUGCUACCACUGACAGAGAGAAGUGCAUAGGAGACAAGGGGGACCAGGCAGAAAAGCCUGGUGGAGUUAUCUACAAAUAGAUACUGCGAGAACCAACAAUAAGGAAGGACAGGAAGCCGUGACCAGAGCUGUCUUUUUGUGAGAGGAUUGAACACUUUUCCCCUGUGUAUUUUUUAAAUUUUCUACAUUGAGCAUACAUUGUUUCAGGAUCAGAAAAGGACUACAUUAUUGAUGUAUCUAUGCUCUGUGACAUAGAUGCAGUUCGAGUAAGAAUGCAGUUAAUUAUUGUUGCUGCUUAGAAGUUGAAGAGAAAUGGUAUCAUCACCAUAUCAUAGUCUCUUGCCAGGAAAGUUAUUGGGACUGUAGCGGUGCCUCCUGUGUCCCUAGCACUUCGCCCUGUAGAGCAACACUUCAAAACAGAAAAUGAAACUGGGCAGCAUCGCCAGGCAAACACUGGCUGCCGUUGUCGUGUUCCCUUCUGCAGCCCUCGGCUGAGAAAUUCAGCCCUAGAAUAGUGCAUACUUUCCGAUGCUGUAAGCAAGGGGCGGCCCACUGUGCUCUCCACCAGGAAAACCCCUGCUUGGGCUUAGUGACGGUGCCCAGCCAUGGCAACAGUGACAGAGCCCCACCGAAGCCUGCUUCCCUGGAGAGGCCGAUGAAGUCAUGCAGGCCCGAGCCCAGCUCCUAUGAGGGAGGCGGAUGGAAACCAGAGCCUGGCAAGGAUGUGUCAGCCGGAUGGCAGGUGGAGAGAUGCAGGCAUGGCGAGUUCAGGCAAAGUGCCAAAGCUCACCCCAGAAAGGUGGCCCAGGAUUUGAACUCGGAAGAGCCCGUGUCGCCCCUAUCUAGGUGACCACCAUGUUGGAAAAGUCUUCCCCUUAAACCAUGGCACCCUGGCCUCGCUUCAGAUCGUCCCACAGCGCUCUGCAGGUCUGGGCAGAUGAUGGUGAGGGUGCCUGGAUUCUCCAGCGAGCUGUGUCUUCAGGGAAAUGAAUCUACCUCCUCUGUUUAUCUAGCUCUCUGCCCUGAGGUGUGGUUCUCAGCUGCUUGUCACUGAGGGCAUAGGCUCCUGCCAGAGGGCUCUGCCAGGACCAGCACCAUGCCCUUCUGCCCAAGGGACAGUCCCAGUCAUGCCUGCUUCUCUCUGCAGGAAGCCAGUCCCCUUUAGGGACCAGCUGCAGCCCCCUGAGAGCCUCAGCUUCCUUCCCUUCAAGAUGAGAAGAGAAACCCCUGCACUCCAGGGUCUGGGGACGGGGGCAGGGGUGUCCCUCCAAGAUCAGGUGCUUCGACCUCCUGGGAUAGGGAAGGGAGAGAGCACAUGAGGAUCUGUGGCCUCAGUUUCCCUGACCUUUCUAGGUAUGACCAUGUGUAAGCUCCAGACUCCAAGUGGGAAGCCAGGAAGGAAGGGAGGGAGGUGGCAUCUUUCUGUCCUCGUGCUCAAGGAAAGGUCAGGUCCCAGGCCUCAGAUGUCACAGUGUUCCUCUAUGAUCAGAAGGAGCCCUACAGGUAUGACUAACCUGAGUGAGAGAGCACCCUGGAUCACCCAGGUGGCCCAAGGAAUGACGGUGGUCCUUAAAACCAGAGAAUUAGCUCCAGUUGUGGCUGGAGACAGAGCGAGGUGAUACUGCUGAUUUUGAAAACGGAGGGGACCGCAAACCCAGGGAUACAGGAGGCCCUGAACUGGAGCCUCCAGAAGGACCCAGCCCUGCUGACACCUUGGUGUUAGCCCAGUGAGACCCUCUUCAGCCACAUCAGACUUCAGACUUCCCUGACUAAAGUAAAUCAACACAUAAAUUUGGAGUAUGCUUAGCAUGCAUGAAACCCUGGGUUCCUUUCCCAGCAGCACAUUAAAAAAAUAAUAAAGUA